GGGUGGUAAUGCCGGAUGCUCCAGUUGACCGCAUGGUCCUCUGGGAAAGCUUUUGCGGUAUGGGAUGGGGUCGCGUCCUAUCAGCUUGAUGGCGGGGUAACGGCCCACCAUGGCUUCGACGGGUAGCCGGCCUGAGAGGGCGACCGGCCACAUUGGGACUGAGAUACGGCCCAGACUCCUACGGGAGGCAGCAGUGGGGAAUAUUGCACAAUGGGCGCAAGCCUGAUGCAGCGACGCCGCGUGCGGGAUGACGGCCUUCGGGUUGUAAACCGCUUUUGACUGGGAGCAAGCCCUUCGGGGUGAGUGUACCUUUCGAAUAAGCACCGGCUAACUACGUGCCAGCAGCCGCGGUAAUACGUAGGGUGCAAGCGUUAUCCGGAAUUAUUGGGCGUAAAGGGCUCGUAGGCGGUUCGUCGCGUCCGGUGUGAAAGUCCAUCGCUUAACGGUGGAUCCGCGCCGGGUACGGGCGGGCUUGAGUGCGGUAGGGGAGACUGGAAUUCCCGGUGUAACGGUGGAAUGUGUAGAUAUCGGAAA
rnacentral:rRNA from 1 species